CAGGUAGCUAACUGAAACAACAAAAACAGAGAUCCUGGGUGAGAAGUCAGGAAAGCCAGCUCACACAGAAGCGUCCGCACGAGAGCCACGCGAAGCAGCACAGGACGGAAGCAGCGGGCAUCUCUGAGGAAGCAGGGCCUCAAGGUUCCAACUGUCAAGAUGGUCCGGGAAGAAAUGGUCUCGCUCUCCACACCCCCAAAGUUGGCCCUGUGAGCAAGUCUAAUAGGACUUUUUUCAGUUUCAUAAAAUAUCUUGAUAACUGGAAAGUGCCAGUUAAUGGUAACCUGUUCCAACUAUGAAUUUCACAAAGAUUAAUAUACCCCUUUAGGUUUCUUAAGAUUCUAUCAGGAGGCCUCCCCUAGUCUAGGGUGUUUUACAAUCUCUGUGGGCACGAAGCUCAACUGAAACUACCAUUCAACAGCCUAACUGUCAUCUUCAUCUUCUCCUGGCAUAAAAAUACAUAUUUUUUUCCCAUAAUAAAGAUUUUUUAUAAUAGCAAUAAAGUAACUCCAGAGAACAUGGUUGUCUUGAGAUAGUUUAACUGUGUCUGGUACCUCAUAACGCCCUGGGGAUACAGCAGGCCCAUAAUACUCCCUUUCGCUGCCAUGUCUUUGCUUAAUUAAGGAAUAAAGCCAAAAGGUCAAGGCUGGAGAAAAAUGUAAAUCUUCAAAACUUUUCAUUCUUGACCCAAACUCUGUGUCAUAAAACCUCAGUUAUCUCUGUAACAAGCAGCACACCUACCCAGUGAGUUAGGAGAUACCCGAAUAUACAUUACAUCUUUAAAAUAUGCUUUUAACACAAUGGAAAUAAAUUCCUGACCUCUGGGCUUGGAAUUAUGAUUCUGCCUUCUUAGAGAGAGACCCUCACAAACCAUCUGCUCAUCCCCAGCGAAUGGAAAGCGCUAAUAGCAGAAGCCAUCUACCUCGUGAAACAUGAUUUGCUACUGCGUUUUCAUUGCAUCAAACAUUGUGUUGACUCUCAUACAGCUAGAAGGCAAGAAAGUCGUCUGCGCCUGUAGG
ensembl:lncRNA